rnacentral:rRNA from 1 species
CGCCCGCCGCGCGCGGCGGGCGGGGCGGGGGCACGGGGGGCCUACGGGAGGCAGCAGUUAGGAAUCUUCCACAAUGGGCGAAAGCCUGAUGGAGCGACGCCGCUUGAGGGAAGACGGUCUUCGGAUUGUAAACCUCUGAACGAGUGACGAAAGAUAACCAAAAUGACGGUAGCUCGUAAUGACCCAUCCAA